rnacentral:lncRNA from 10 species
UGGACCAAAGGAACAUAGCCCUAGUUUAAGAGAACGAAGACCACAGCAAGAACUCCAGAAUCAAUGUAUUAAGGCUAAUGAAAGAAUCCAUCUAAACUAUGAUAUUUGCCCUUUGCCUCCAAAAGAAGAUGUGCUCUUCCAUCUUGGGAUCCAGCACUGUAACAUGUUGGAGCUUAGAGAUGUUCUAGUCUAAUCUCAGAGCUCUGUACAGAAGAACACCAAAUGCCAGAAAGAUUAAGUGAUUUGCCCAAGAUCACACACUGAGUUAGUGAACUAAAAUCCCAGAUGUUCACUCCCUGCCCAUUUGCUUUUCACUGACUUACCUGCUUCCCAUUUUAAAAGCUCACCCUGCCCCUUCUCCAAUGUAUCCUUCCCCUUCCCCCCACUGGCAGAUACACAUCUGCUAUGAAAGCGUUCUAUUCCUGAAAUACUCCUGAUGUAGAUUAAGUGAUGUCUAUGGGUGUUAUUUAGUAUCCACUGCAAUAAAUGCUAGCAGCUAGUA